UACGGAGGGGGCUAGCGUUGUUCGGAAUUACUGGGCGUAAAGAGCGCGCAGGCGGUCGUUCAAGUCGAGUGUGAAAGCCCCCGGCUCAACUGGGGAGGGUCACUCGAUACUGAUCGACUCGAAGGCAGGAGAGGGAAGCGGAAUUCCCGGUGUAGUGGUGAAAUGCGUAGAUAUCGGGAGGAACACCAGUGGCGAAGGCGGCUUUCUGGCCUGUUCUUGACGCUGAGGCGCGAAAGCUAGGGUAGCAAACGGG
rnacentral:rRNA from 1 species